rnacentral:rRNA from 1 species
GCGAUGCGGCGUGCUAUACAUGCAAGUCGAGCGAAUGGAUUAAAAGCUUGCUCUUAUGAAGUUAGCGGCGGACGGGUGAGUAACACGUGGGUAACCUGCCCAUAAAACUGGGAUAACUCCGGGAAACCGGGGCUAAUACCGGAUAACAUUUUGAACCGCAGGGUUCGAAAUUGAAAGGCGGCUUCGGCUGUCACUUAUGGAUGGACCCGCGUCGCAUUACCUAGUUGGGGAGGUAACGGCUCACCAAGGCAACGAUGCGUAGCCAACCUGAGAGGGUGAUCGGCCACACUGGGACUGAAACACGGCCCAAACUCCUACGGGAGGCAGCAGUAGGGAAUCUUCCGCAAUGGACAAAAGUCUGACGGACCACCGCCCCGUGAGUGAUGAAGGCUUUCGGGUCGAAAAACUCUGUUGUUAGGGAAAAACAAGUGCUAGUUGAAUAAGCUGGCACCUUGACGGUACCUAACCAAAAAGCCACGGCUAACUACGUGCCAGCAGCCGCGGUAAUACGUAGGUGGCAAGCGUUAUCCGGAAUUAUUGGGCGUAAAGCGCGCGCAGGUGGUUUCUUAAUUCUGAUGUGAAACCCCACGGCUCAACCGUGGAGGGUCAUUGAAAACUGGAAGACUUGAGUGCAGAAGAGGAAAGUGGAAUUCCAUGUGUAGCGGUGAAAUGCGUAGAGAUAUGGAGGACCACCAGUGGCGAAGGCGACUUUUCUGGUCUGUAACUGACACUGAGGCGCGAAAGCGUGGGGAGCAAACAGG